UAUGUUUUAAAAAAUUUAUUAUGAAUUUAUUUUACAUAUAAAUUUUAGUAUGAAUUUUUAAUUAUUUUAAUAAUAAUUAAUUUUAAUUAAUAGUAAUUAAAAUUAAAAAUUUAAGAAAUUAAGAUUUAGUAAUAUAAAAAUUAAUAACUAAUUUUGUGCCAGCAGUUGCGGUUAAACAAAAAUUAAAUUAAAUUUUUUCAGUAUUUAAUAAAUAAAUAUUUGUAAUUAAAAUAAAUAUUAAAUUAUUAAGUAAAAUUUUAAUUUAAUUAAAUUUUAAAUUAUUUUUAUGAUUUAAUAAAUUUGUUAAUAAACUAGGAUUAGAUACCCUAUUAUUAAAAAUUUAAUUUAUAAUACUAAAAUAGUAAAUAAAAAAUAUUGAAACUUAAAUAAUAUGGCGGUAUUUUAGUUCAUUUAGAGGAAUCUGUUUAAUAAUUGAUAAUCCACGAAUAAAUUUACUUAAUUUAAUAUUUUAUAUAUCGUUGUUAAAAAAAUAUUUUUUAAUGAUAAUAAUAUUUGAAAAUUUUUAUUAAAAAUUAACUCAGAUCAAGAUGUAGAUUAUAAUUAAGAAUAUAAUGGAUUACAAUAAAAUAAUUUAUAAUGAAAAAUUUAAUUUUAAUAUUAAUUUGAAGGUGGAUUUAAAUGUAAUUUUAAUUAGUUUAUUAAAAUGAUUAAAAAUUAAAAUAUGUACAUAUUGCCCGUCACUUUCAUUUAAAAAUUGGAAUAAGUCGUAACAAAGUAGAAGUACUGGAAAGUGUUUCUAGAAUGAA
rnacentral:rRNA from 1 species